AAGGAGGAACACCAGGUGGCUGUCUGGGGGUCAUCAAAGGUGACCUGUAAAGCCCUUUUCUGCACUGGAGACAUGAUGUUGAAACAAGGACAACAUCUCUAAUAUCAGGAAGGGUACCAGAGGUGACUUGCUGGGAGAAAAGAAAGGCUUACUGUGGGCAACUGAGUUUUGGGGUGUUAUACACACUCUUGUAAAAUUAGCUAACUGAUAUG
rnacentral:lncRNA from 1 species